UACGUAGGGUGCAAGCGUUGUCCGGAAUUAUUGGGCGUAAAGAGCUCGUAGGCGGCCUGUUGCGUCGGCUGUGAAAACCCGGGGCUCAACCCCGGGCCUGCAGUCGAUACGGGCAGGCUAGAGUCCGGCAGGGGAGACUGGAAUUCCUGGUGUAGCGGUGAAAUGCGCAGAUAUCAGGAGGAACACCGAUGGCGAAGGCAGGUCUCUGGGCAUUAACUGACGCUGAGGAGCGAAAGCAUGGGGAGCGAACAGG
rnacentral:rRNA from 1 species